rnacentral:misc_RNA from 1 species
CAGAGCCUAAAAACUCUCAAACCCACUGUUAAUUAUACCUUUUUUGUUGCUUUGGCGGGCAGUCCCAGGGCGGGGCCUUGCCUGUAUUUUUUGCAGGUGUCCGCCGAAAGCACCCCUAAAAUUCUUUUUUUAUGGCUGUCUGAGUUUUAAAAAAAAAUAAGUCA